UACGGAGGGGCUAGCGUUGUUCGGAAUUACUGGCGUAAAGCGCACGUAGGCGGUUUGUAAGUUAGAGGUGAAGCCUGGGCUCAACUCCAGAAUAGCCUUUAAGACUGCAUCACUUGAACACGGGAGAGGUGAGUGGAAUUCCGAGUGUAGAGGUGAAAUUCGUAGAUAUUCGGAAGAACACCAGUGGCGAAGGCGGCUCACCUGGACCGUUGUUGACGCUGAGGUGCGAAAGCGUGGGAGCAAACAGG
rnacentral:rRNA from 1 species